rnacentral:misc_RNA from 1 species
UUCUUUCAAUGGUAGCAGCUUUAUCUGUAGCUUUACCAGCUACUUUAGUAACUUGGAUUACAAUUUUGGUUUUGUUAACUUUUGCUGGAAAACCCAGAAGGGAUUUGGUGUUACAGGGCAAGAAAUUAACUCUUGAUAUUACUCGAUUUGUUAUUAAGAUUCUGAUUAAAGAAGGGAAUGUUGUUGCUGCUCUUUGUGCUGUUCUUGCUUAUUUUUUUCUUGUUACAUCAAGUAAUAAACAACUACAAAAUGGUCUCGUCGAUGAUUAUUGAUCGUGGUGUUCGAGUUAGCUUUUGUACGAGAGCACAGAUAACUCUAUCGACCAAGG